AUUACACAUAUACAUAUAUAUGAACAAUUUAAAGUUUACUCAAGAAUGUGUAUUUUUUCUACAUUAUAAAAUGUGGUAUUGGGUUCUAGGAAAUUAUUUCAAACUACACGAUCAUUUGAAGAAGAUAGCUCUUAGGAAAAAAGAGAUGAUCUCCUCUAACUUCUUAGAACCACUGCACUGCCAAAUGGGGAUUUAUUUCUAUUGCCUCAUCCAAGUCAGUUCCAAAGCUUAACUCUUCCAUGAAGUUUUCCAUGAUCAAUCCUGCCUAAGAGAACAGGAACAAACCAGAGAAAAUUAUAUGUGUGAGAAUGGAAUAAGGGCUAUCAGAAGAUAGAAAUUUUGACAUAUUUCUGGAAGAUGGAAGCAUAAAGCAGACUGGAAGAAGCUCUAAUCCAGAAAACAUACAGAAGCCUUCAACGGAUGUGUGGGCUGCUCUUCCUGAGAGAACCAUAAGAAGAUUCCAAGCUUGGCAACGGCAGGUAUGGGGACCAGCAAUAGGAAAUAAGGUGAUAAAAAUGCUACUUCCCUUGUAAAGAGAAAGGGCAGCUGCCUACAAAACAACAGUGAUCUUCUAAGGUGUGAGCAAA